rnacentral:sRNA from 1 species
CAGGAUGUCGAGGCUCCUAUUCGACCCAACGUACGGGUUCCCAGUCCCCUGGCCCGGCCAGAGAAGAACGGUGAAGCAAGUUAUGGCUGCCAGAAGAGACGUGAGUGAUCGAGCUCCUUUUGCCCUCUUGACCAAGCACGACUCGACUCGAUGACUUCCUGGCUAUUCUCGUGUUUCCUUCGUUUGACCAGGCCGGGUGCAUCACGGGUGCAACGCACAAAUCGCAAUGCAGGAUCGCGAGAAUGUCUGAUUUCCUGCCCGUGGAUGGCUGAAUCAGAUGCCAGUUAGUUAUGUUUAGUUAUCUAACAAAUUCGAUCAAUGAUGAUAACUUGAUGUUCUGUUCCUUUCUUGUUGGCGAGUAAUGUAAAUUUUCUUUUUCUUUUUCUUUUUUUAUUGCACACUCCCUCACCAAAAUAAUAAUAAUAAUAAUAAUAAUAACAUCCCAAAACCAAAAAAGGCGUAAAAAUGGUAUUUAGAAAAGAUCCUUCCACGUUUGUUCCUGAUGUGGUCGCAAGCUGGCGAUUUGUGCCCGCCCGAUGCUUUGCUUUACACAGAUACUCAUGCCCUACAAAAGGAGAAGGAUGCGUGAUGUGUCCACCUCACCGCACAGAGUUUGAAAAGUACCAUCGGGUACCAGACGGAGUUAAGUUGGUAACCGCGGCGGGGUGCGAUUGGGUUCGUCGAUGGGUUGGAGAUGGGCGAGUGUGGAGAGUAGCUGCGGCGAUCCGAUGGUUAGUUAGUUCGACCACGCCAGG